rnacentral:rRNA from 1 species
AAUAGAUACCCCGGUAGUCCACGCCGUAAACGAUGAGUGCUAGGUGUUAGGGGGGUUCCGCCCCUUAGUGCUGCAGCUAACGCAUUAAGCACUCCGCCUGGGGAGUACGGUCGCAAGACUGAAACUCAAAGGAAUUGACGGGGGCCCGCACAAGCGGUGGAGCAUGUGGUUUAAUUCGAAGCAACGCGAAGAACCUUACCAGGUCUUGACAUCCCACUGACCGCCAUGGAGACAUGGCCUUCCCUUCGGGGACAGCGGUGACAGGUGGUGCAUGGUUGUCGUCAGCUCGUGUCGUGAGAUGUUGGGUUAAGUCCCGCAACGAGCGCAACCCUUGUCCUUAGUUGCCAUCAUUCAGUUGGGCACUCUAAGGAGACUGCCGUACAAAUACGGAGGAAGGUGGGGAUGACGUCAAAUCAUCAUGCCCCUUAUGACCUGGGCUACACACGUGCUACAAUGGGUGGUACAAAGGGCAGCAAACCCGCGAGGGGGAGCGAAUCCCAAAAAGCCACUCUCAGUUCGGAUUGCAGGCUGCAACUCCG